rnacentral:rRNA from 1 species
UUCCAGACUCCUACGGGAGGCAGCAGUGAGGAAUAUUGGUCGAUGGGUUUACGCCUGAACCAGCCAAGUCGCGUGAGGGAAGACUGCCCUAUGGGUUGUAAACCUCUUUUGUCAGGGAGCAAUUGGCGCUACGUGUAGCGUUAUCGAGAGUACCUGAAGAAAAAGCAUCGGCUAACUCCGUGCCAGCAGCCGCGGUAAUACGGAGGAUGCGAGCGUUAUCCGGAUUUAUUGGGUUUAAAGGGUGCGUAGGCGGAAUGCCAAGUCAGCGGUAAAAUUUCGGGGCUCAACCCCGUCGUGCCGUUGAAACUGGCGUUCUUGAGUGAGCGAGAAGUAUGCGGAAUGCGUGGUGUAGCGGUGAAAUGCAUAGAUAUCACGCAGAACUCCGAUUGCGAAGGCAGCAUACCGGCGCGCAACUGACGCUCAUGCACGAAAGCGUGGGUAUCGAACAGGAUUAGAUGCCCGAGUA